AAGAAGUACAAUAAAGAAGCUGCUAACUAACUUUAAAACAUUAAAUUGUUAACUUCUUG
rnacentral:tRNA from 1 species